rnacentral:rRNA from 1 species
GGCUUAGUGGUGGGGUGACUGCGUACCUUUUGUAUAAUGGGUCAGCGACUUAUAUUCUGUAGCAAGGUUAACCGCAUAGGGGAGCCGGAGGGAAACCGAGUCUUAACCGGGCGUUAAGUUGCAGGGUAUAGACCCGAAACCCGGUGAUCUAGCCAUGGGCAGGUUGAAGGUUGGGUAACACUAACUGGAGGACCGAACCGACUAAUGUUGAAAAAUUAGCGGAUGACCUGUGGCUGGGGGUGAAAGGCCAAUCAAACCGGGAGAUAGCUGGUUCUCCCCGAAAGCUAUUUAGGUAGCGCCUCGUGAAUUCAUCUCCGGGGGUAGAGCACUGUUUCGGCUAGGGGGCCAUCCCGGCUUACCAACCCGAUGCAAACUGCGAAUACCGGAGAAUGUUAUCACGGGAGACACACGGCGGGUGCUAACGUCCGUCGUGAAGAGGGAAACAACCCAGACCGCCAGCUAAGGUCCCAAAGUCAUGGUUAAGUGGGAAACGAUGUGGGAAGGCCCAGACAGCCAGGAUGUUGGCUUAGAAGCAGCCAUCAUUUAAAGAAAGCGUAAUAGCUCACUGGUCGAGUCGGCCUGCGCGGAAGAUGUAACGGGGCUAAACCAUGCACCGAAGCUGCGGCAGCGANNGUUGGGUAGGGGAGCGUUCUGUAAGCCUGUGAAGGUGGCCUGUGAGGGUUGCUGGAGGUAUCAGAAGUGCGAAUGCUGACAUAAGUAACGAUAAAGCGGGUGAAAAGCCCGCUCGCCGGAAGACCAAGGGUUCCUGUCCAACGUUAAUCGGGGCAGGGUGAGUCGACCCCUAAGGCGAGGCCGAAAGGCGUAGUCGAUGGGAAACGGGUUAAUAUUCCCGUACUUGGUGUUACUGCGAAGGGGGGACGGAGAAGGCUAUGUUGGCCGGGCGACGGUUGUCCCGGUUUAAGCGUGUAGGUGUGUGUUCCAGGUAAAUCCGGUUCACUUUAACACUGAGGCGUGACGACGAGGCACUACGGUGCUGAAGCAACAAAUGCCCUGCUUCCAGGAAAAGCCUCUAAGCAUCAGGUAACAUCAAAUCGUACCCCAAACCGACACAGGUGGUCAGGUAGAGAAUACCAAGGCGCUUGAGAGAACUCGGGUGAAGGAACUAGGCAAAAUGGUGCCGUAACUUCGGGAGAAGGCACGCUGACACGUAGGUGAAGUGAUUUACUCAUGGAGCUGAAGUCAGUCGAAGAUACCAGCUGGCUGCAACUGUUUAUUAAAAACACAGCACUGUGCAAACACGAAAGUGGACGUAUACGGUGUGACGCCUGCCCGGUGCCGGAAGGUUAAUUGAUGGGGUCAGCGCAAGCGAAGCUCCUGAUCGAAGCCCCGGUAAACGGCGGCCGUAACUAUAACGGUCCUAAGGUAGCGAAAUUCCUUGUCGGGUAAGUUCCGACCUGCACGAAUGGCGUAAUGAUGGCCAGGCUGUCUCCACCCGAGACUCAGUGAAAUUGAACUCGCUGUGAAGAUGCAGUGUACCCGCGGCAAGACGGAAAGACCCCGUGAACCUUUACUAUAGCUUGACACUGAACAUUGAGCCUUGAUGUGUAGGAUAGGUGGGAGGCUUUGAAGUGUGGACGCCAGUCUGCAUGGAGCCGACCUUGAAAUACCACCCUUUAAUGUUUGAUGUUCUAACGUGGACCCGUAAUCCGGGUUGCGGACAGUGUCUGGUGGGUAGUUUGACUGGGGCGGUCUCCUCCUAAAGAGUAACGGAGGAGCACGAAGGUUGGCUAAUCCUGGUCGGACAUCAGGAGGUUAGUGCAAUGGCAUAAGCCAGCUUGACUGCGAGCGUGACGGCGCGAGCAGGUGCGAAAGCAGGUCAUAGUGAUCCGGUGGUUCUGAAUGGAAGGGCCAUCGCUCAACGGAUAAAAGGUACUCCGGGGAUAACAGGCUGAUACCGCCCAAGAGUUCAUAUCGACGGCGGUGUUUGGCACCUCGAUGUCGGCUCAUCACAUCCUGGGGCUGAAGUAGGUCCCAAGGGUAUGGCUGUUCGCCAUUUAAAGUGGUACGCGAGCUGGGUUUAGAACGUCGUGAGACAGUUCGGUCCCUAUCUGCCGUGGGCGCUGGAGAACUGAGGGGGGCUGCUCCUAGUACGAGAGGACCGGAGUGGACGCAUCACUGGUGUUCGGGUUGUCAUGCCAAUGGCACUGCCCGGUAGCUAAAUGCGGAAGAGAUAAGUGCUGAAAGCAUCUAAGCACGAAACUUGCCCCGAGAUGAGUUCUCCCUGAGACUUAGAGUCUCCUGAAGGAACGUUGAAGACGACGACGUUGAUAGGCCGGGUGUGUAAGCGCAGCGAUGCGUUGAGCUAACCGGUACUAAUGAACCGUGAGGCUUAACCUUACAACGCCGAAG